UCUCGCUCUAAGAACAAGUAAACUAAUUUGUCGCGUAAAUAGCUAGCACUGCUGGAGACGAACACCGACACUGAUACAGGUCGUCAAAGUUGGCCCGAUACGCUAAUGCUGUAGUGCCAAUAUCAUCGUUUGAAAGACACAAUACAGCCGAGGCUUAUAUACGAGCGGCACUUCGGAGUUUCGGUGAAUCGUCCUUUCAUCCUUUAUGCAGUCCUACGCCCGAACUCAUCCCGUUGCUCGUUCGCUGGCUCGCUCUGUAUCGACUUCACUCCGUUCGAGUUCACUGUUUCUGGUUCUGGUUUAGUAGAACAUCGACCGGACCGGCUAUACGCUUAUUACAUUGUAAUGAAGUAGUCAUGCACCCGACUUGCCGAUGGAUCACGGUUUGAUGCGAGAUCUAAAAGUAACCCUUCGAGGAAACGCAAUACCCCUGGGUUCCUCACCAUAUGACACCGGAACGACGAAAUAUUGCAGCCGACUUGGCCUUCG